rnacentral:lncRNA from 1 species
CCCGAAGGCUCGCGCUACAGUUGUUGGUCCCUAUCUCUGCAGCAGCCAGAACAAAUCUAAUUUCCUCGAGGGGAAUCGAUGGUUUUGUUCCACAGACUUUACUAUUAAAAGUGACUUCCUGAGAAAUGGAGCUACGAUAUCGAGUUUGCCAAGUAGGCGACACAAAGACUUCAAUUCCCAGGAGGCACUGUGGGUAUCCUAGGUUCAGGCUCGAGCUUUGCAUCAUGGGAUUUGUAGUUAUCACUGGCUUGGGGUUCUCUCAAAGAGGCUUCCAACAGAAGGUGUGGCCCAGAUUAAAGGUCUGUAUUAAAGGCCCAUGUCAUCCACCGUCAAGACCCGGAUCAAAGACAUGUUGUCUUCCUGCUUCAAUUCUGGAUCACAGGGUUGCCUUCCAGAUCACUGGUCCUUAGGAAGGAGCAGCUCUAGCAGG